GUUAAAACACCGGUUCCCGUACGAUAUACGAAGUUAAGCAACGUUGUCUGAUAAAUACCUAGAUGGGUGACCGCCUGGGAAGACCAGUUGCAGUA